CUACAGAGGACUCCCCUUGAGCGCCUGGCGGGGGGUGCCAGCGGGGACUGCCAUUGGUGACAACAGGGAUGGACCUUGAGGGUAUUAAUGAUGAGUGAAGGUUGAGUCAAGUAACACCAUCUGGAGAAGACAGCGAGUGUCCAAGAUAAAGCUGGGAAAGUCUGUGAGAAUUGAACCUACUACAUGCAGAGGAAGAAGAGCUGAAAGAUGGAGAUUGAAGAGACAGAGACAACAAAGAAAACUCGAAUAAUCUCUUCUGUGUCACUGAAUCAAGCUCAUUUCAGAUAUGGUCUGACUCUCUUCUUGAACUACAUACCUAUGUCAAAAAGAAAAAUUCACUGAAGGGGCUCAACAGUAAUUUAAGCAGACAGAAGAUAAAAAGAGAUCUCAAAUAUGGGUCAGUCAAGAUUUUCCAACUGAGUAACAGAAAAGGAAGGAAAACUAGUAAAAGGAAAAAAAGGAUGAAAAAAAAAUCCCCAGAGACUUGUGGAGCACAAUCAAAUAUUCUAAUACAUGCAUAAAUGAGAGAGAAAGAAGGAAGAAUACUUGAAAAAGAGACCAAAAUCUUCCCAAAUUUGAUAAAAAGCAUUAAUCUACAUAUGUAGGAAGCUUCAUGAAUGACAAGUAGAGUAAAAUUAAAGAGAUUCCACCUAGACACCUUACAGGCAAACAGUUGAAAGUCAAAGACAGAAUCUUGAAAGCUGCAAGAGAGAAGUGACUCAUCAUGUACAAGAAAUCUGCAUCAGAAACCAUGGAGGCCAGAGGUGGUGAGAUGACAUAUUCAACAUGCUGAAAGAAGAACUGGUCAAAGAAAAAUUCUGUAUCUGCCAAAACCAUCCUUCCAAAAUGAAAGAGAAAUUAAGACCUCCUAGAUAAAUAAAAACUGAGCAUGUUUGCUCCUAGCAAACCUGGCCUACCUGCCCCCUGCU